rnacentral:lncRNA from 1 species
UUCCUUUUGAGGCUUACAUGCAAGUCCUGAGGGCAAUUUCAAAAGAGGAUGCAUGGCCAACACGUUUUGAAUGAUAGUUACAUGGUUGGAAGUAAUGGAGCCUCCUGGGAUGCCGUUGAAAGAAGCUGUCCUCCCUGGCAUGUGAACAGUGCUUGACUGGCUAUGAAUAAAAGUCAAUUAUGCCAGUAUCUCCCUCAAAGAUGGUGAGAAUUAGGAGUGCUGAAAUCAUGCAUGCAUGUAUGACUUACUUCUGGUGGACCCACCGCAGGAUCAGAAAUGUCUACACUGUUGCUGCUUUUCUAAUUUUAGAAAAAUAGUGGCAAGUCUCUGGAACGACCCUAACAAUCCCACAUUCAUGAAGUGGCUCAAACCAGCAGGACUCGUGUUUGGAAUGGAAAGACCAGAGCUGAGGAAAAGGAAAGUGGAAUUUCUCUUUGGAGUUUUGAAGUCUCUCCUUAGCUUAUGACUUUGAGUUGCUUGAAAAGCUUGAAGGAAUUUCCACACUUAGCACACUUCCCGUGGCUGCCGGCCGCCUGGCUCCAAAGCACAUUUUGUGAGGUUUCAGUGUGUUCUCAUUCCUCAGCAUUAUAAUGGAUGCUGUCACUAGAGCUGGAUCCUGGCCGUGUAAGGCAGGUCACCCGAAAAGGCUGACCAGGGCCCUGUUUCCUGACUGAAUGCUUGGUUGAUGGUAUCUUGUCUGAUUCAUAUCCUAUUGGAAACGGUGUGAAGCAGGGCCUGGAAGUAGAUCUGGUUUGAAUCAAUCUGGCCAACACAGCCUUGCUUGACAGGCAACAGAGGCUGGACUGCUGGUUUUAAAAGAGAAAUCCUAGUUUUAGAGAAGUUUUUUGCUUUUCCUUCAAAAGACUGAGAAACUUACCGAUUUCUUUUGACUAACACAGUGCUGCACAAACAUACAAUGCUUUAAAAAUUUCCUCUUUUGCUGUUUCACAUAUGCAUUCACCAAAUAUUCAUUUAGAUGCCUGUUUUAUGCCAGGUACUAUACUAGUACCUGUUAGGAAGACAAUCAUGAGCAAAAUAGACUUCAUUCCUGCCCUCAUGAAGAUUACAGUCUAGUGGGGAAGAUAGAAAUUGAACAAACACCAAAACUAAUAUAAAUAAGUGCUUGUAAAUGAAAGAUAUAGGGUUCCAAGAGGGACAACAUACAAUAGGGGUUCUCGCUUAGAUUGAGGAGCUCAGGAUGCAAGGAAGAGGCAUUGAAACAGACGCCUGGUAGAUAGAUAGGAAAUAUGCAAGCAAAGAGCUUGGGGAAAUGGUUCUGGACAGAGGGAACAGCAGAGGUGAGGCAAAGUGGGUUCAGGUGGGGCUCAAGAGACAGAGAGAGCCCAGAUCAUGCAGGACCUGAUGGCCAAGAGCAAGAUUUUGUGUUUUGAAUUCUCCCUCCAAUCAGUUUUGUUUAAAGCACUUUCUACUAGUGUCAACUGGAUUGGAUGCAACACACUAUCAUUGAGUGAAUUAUUAGGUUGGUGCAAAAGUAAUUGCGGUUUUUGCCAUUAAUGGGUUGUGCCAGCCUUAUAGAUCCUGAAACAGCCAAUUCAGAGCAAGGCUGCUGGCAUUCUCCACUGAAGAGCUGGAUUGGGGGUGGGGCCAAUAUUAAAGCACUAGCUUGGGAGAAAGAUGGAAUUUAAAUGUCCAUAUAUUACCCUAUUUAUUAUUUUCAUUGCCAUUCUCCAUUUGUAUUUCCUUUCAAUCAAAAAUUACUGAGAACAUCUUAUAUGCAAAACGCCUUGAAAGAUUCAAAGAGUUCUGGGACACAUCCUUUCUCUCCAGGAAUUUAUGUCUUAGUGGAAAAGCCAGCUCUGUGAAUCACCCUACAAAACCACAGACUUAUGCAGCAAAAUGGACAGCAUCUGAAAUAUCAUCUGGUCCAGGUUCACAGACAUAUUCUCCAGGGUCACAGAGCUCUAGAGUAAUUGUCUUUUAAUUUUGUGGUUUUCAUUUUGAUUAUAAUCUAAAACGUAUUUUACUGGUUAUAAAGGAAAAAAAAAGAUCCUCUUGUUUGCCCUAAUGAUUUACAAUUGAGAGACAUUUCAAAUCAUAAGACUUUAGUUCCUUAAGUCACUGUUUGUCCAACUAGGAUCCAUGGAGUCUUCAGGGCCCACAGAUGUAUUUUCAGGAGUCUAUUAAAGUUAUUCUUCCCUUGAAAUGUGUCCUUAUAUCACCAAGUCUGAGAAACUAACCUAUUCCAACACGUCAUUAUCACAGACUUUUUUUUUUUUUUUUUAAAGACCAAGGCCUAGGAAGAGUAAGAAUAAAAUUCCUAAAACAUUUUAGAUUUCUUAUAUUAAUUAGAAAUCAUCGUUUUCAACGUUUUUUUGAAUUCUUUAUCUCAUUGCUUUCUUAUAAAUAUCCAUGACCCACACACCCACACAAAAUAGACAGUAUUAUUAUCCUCAUCAUAGAGAUAAAGAAAUUGAGAUUCGUAGCUGUUAAGUAACUUGCCCAAGUUCAACUAAUAAUAGUAAAUGCAAACAGUGGCGUUGGAAUGAAAACAAUCUACUUUCCAGGCCAGUAGUCAUGCCAUUGUCCGAACUUUCUAGCAUUUAGGGCAACAGAUGUAACACAUUAAAAUCUGCAACCUCUGUUCCAAGAGUGUGUUUUGGUUUUAUUUUACCAAUGAGACACAAAUUCCUCAUUUGGUCAUAGUCAUUCCAUGAUAUCUUAAUGAUUUCCUCUGCUUAACUUCGGUGGUUUAAAAAUGUCUACAAAUUCUUUGAUUGCUCCCAUGAAGGAGGUCUAUAUAUCCUCCCCUUGAAUCUGGCUGACUAAUAGCAUGUGGUAGGGGUGACUCUAUGUGAAUGUUGAGGUUGAGUCAUAAAAGGUGAUCCAGCUUCCACCUGGUCCUCAUGAGAUGCUCCCUCUUGGAACUCAGCCACUAAGCUAUGAGGAAGCCCUGGCCACAUGGACAGGCCAUGUGUAGGUGCUCAGCUGACACCCCCAGUUGGGGUCUCAGCCAAUAGCCAGCAUCAACCCAAGACCUAUGAGUGAAAAAGGUUUUGAGAUGACUCCAGCUUUAGCAGCCAUUGAACUGCAUGAGAAAGCCUGUGUGAGAACCAUCUAGCUGAGCGUAGAACCUAGAGAGACAGUGUAACAACUUUUAAACCACCAAGCUUUGGGCUGAUUUGUUAGGCAGCAACAAUGACUGGAAUGCUGGCUGGGCACCUUGCAUUGGGUGAUUUCAUCAGUGUUUCUCCCAAAAGGCAUCAUGGUCUGCACUGUACUAGGAGCUUUCAGCUUGAAGAGAGAUACUUGGUCUCCCUAAAGGGGACCAGAGGCUGAGCACAAUUAUGGCUUGAUUAUCCCUAACAUUUCUGUUCCUCUGACUUAUAUGUUCUCUUUUUCAUCAGAAAACACUGCAAUUGACUGCAGCUCAGUGCUGCUUCUGUAAACAGGGAAUCAGUCCACCGUAAGGUAAAAAUACCAUGCUCCUGAGAGUUCCUUCUGACGAGAUAUCUCCCUUUGCUAAUGCUGAAAUA